rnacentral:rRNA from 1 species
ACUGGGACUGAGAUACGGCCCAGACUCCUACGGGAGGCAGCAGUGGGGAAUAUUGGACAAUGGGGGCAACCCUGAUCCAGCAAUGCCGCGUGAGUGAUGAAGGCCUUAGGGUUGUAAAGCUCUUUUGGCGGGGACGAUGAUGACGGUACCCGCAGAAUAAGCCCCGGCUAACUUCGUGCCAGCAGCCGCGGUAAUACGAAGGGGGCGAGCGUUGUUCGGAAUUACUGGGCGUAAAGGGCGCGUAGGCGGCGAACCAAGUCAGAUGUGAAAGUCCUGGGCUUAACCUGGGGACUGCAUUUGAUACUGGUUUGCUUGAAUUCGGGAGAGGAUAGCGGAAUUCCCAGUGUAGAGGUGAAAUUCGUAGAUAUUGGGAAGAACACCGGUGGCGAAGGCGGCUAUCUGGACCGACAUUGACGCUGAGGCGCGAAAGCGUGGGGAGAAACAGGAUUAGAUACCCUGGUAGUCCACGCCGUAAACGAUGAAUGCUAGACGCUGGGGAGCAUGCUCUUCGGUGUCGCAGCUAACGCAUUAAGCAUUCCGCCUGGGGAGUACGGUCGCAAGAUUAAAA